UACGGAGGGUGCAAGCGUUAUCCGGAUUCACUGGGUUUAAAGGGUGCGUAGGUGGGUCUGUAAGUCAGUGGUGAAAUCUCCGGGCUUAACUUGGAAACUGCCAUUGAUACUGUAUAUCUUGAAUGUCGUUGAGGUUAGCGGAAUGUUGCAUGUAGCGGUGAAAUGCUUAGAUAUGUUACAGAACACCAAUUGUGAAGACAGCUAACUAAGCGAUGAUUGACGCUGAGGCACGAAAGCGUGGGGAGCAAACAGG
rnacentral:rRNA from 1 species